rnacentral:rRNA from 1 species
CUGCGUACCUUUUGUAUAAUGGGUCAGCGACUUAUAUUCUGUAGCAAGGUUAACCGUAUAGGGGAGCCGGAGGGAAACCGAGUCUUAAUUGGGCGUUAAGUUGCAGGGUAUAGACCCGAAACCCGGUGAUCUAGCCAUGGGCAGGUUGAAGGUUGGGUAACACUAACUGGAGGACCGAACCGACUAAUGUUGAAAAAUUAGCGGAUGACCUGUGGCUGGGGGUGAAAGGCCAAUCAAACCGGGAGAUAGCUGGUUCUCCCCGAAAGCUAUUUAGGUAGCGCCUCGUGAAUUCAUCUCCGGGGGUAGAGCACUGUUUCGGCUAGGGGGCCAUCCCGGCUUACCAACCCGAUGCAAACUGCGAAUACCGGAGAAUGUUAUCACGGGAGACACACGGCGGGUGCUAACGUCCGUCGUGAAGAGGGAAACAACCCAGACCGCCAGCUAAGGUCCCAAAGUCAUGGUUAAGUGGGAAACGAUGUGGGAAGGCCCAGACAGCCAGGAUGUUGGCUUAGAAGCAGCCAUCAUUUAAAGAAAGCGUAAUAGCUCACUGGUCGAGUCGGCCUGCGCGGAAGAUGUAACGGGGCUAAACCAUGCACCGAAGCUGCGGCAGCGACACUCAGGUGUUGUUGGGUAGGGGAGCGUUCUGUAAGCCUGUGAAGGUGGCCUGUGAGGGUUGCUGGAGGUAUCAGAAGUGCGAAUGCUGACAUAAGUAACGAUAAAGCGGGUGAAAAGCCCGCUCGCCGGAAGACCAAGGGUUCCUGUCCAACGUUAAUCGGGGCAGGGUGAGUCGACCCCUAAGGCGAGGCCGAAAGGCGUAGUCGAUGGGAAACGGGUUAAUAUUCCCGUACUUGGUGUUACUGCGAAGGGGGGACGGAGAAGGCUAUGUUGGCCGGGCGACGGUUGUCCCGGUUUAAGCGUGUAGGUGUGUGUUCCAGGUAAAUCCGGUUCACUUUAACACUGAGGCGUGACGACGAGGCACUACGGUGCUGAAGCAACAAAUGCCCUGCUUCCAGGAAAAGCCUCUAAGCAUCAGGUAACAUCAAAUCGUACCCCAAACCGACACAGGUGGUCAGGUAGAGAAUACCAAGGCGCUUGAGAGAACUCGGGUGAAGGAACUAGGCAAAAUGGUGCCGUAACUUCGGGAGAAGGCACGCUGACAC